rnacentral:rRNA from 1 species
UACGUAGGGUGCGAGCGUUGUCCGGAAUUAUUGGGCGUAAAGAGCUCGUAGGCGGCUUGUUGCGUCUGCCGUGAAAAUUCACAGCUUAACUGUGGACGUGCGGUGGAUACGGGCAGGCUUGAGUGCGGUAGGGGAGACUGGAAUUCCUGGUGUAGCGGUGAAAUGCGCAGAUAUCAGGAGGAACACCGGUGGCGAAGGCGGGUCUCUGGACAGUUCCUGACGCUGAGGCACGAAGGCCAGGGGAGCAAACGGG